rnacentral:lncRNA from 1 species
CUCUUAUUCUUAUUUUUACUUUACAUUUGUAUAUAUCACAUUGCACACUAUUCAAAAUGAGUGUUAUGAUUUAUAUUAUAGACAACCGUAGAUACAAUUGUGCCAGUAAUUUCCCGUGUCCACGGGCACUACCUCCAAAAAAAAAUUUGGAGGAAACUCAUUUUGAGUCAGCAAUAACUGAAUCCUACAAGACAUUGUCAUGAAAUUUUGCUUACAUUAAGAAAAUACACAUGAAAUUCAUUGCCUCUAUUUAAAACUUAUAACAGGCAAAAAAACUAGUCAAUCUUAGAAAAGAACUAAUCCCUCUAUGGUACUCAUUUUUUUUUUAGUUGGUAAAUACACAUGCUAUUUUUUUUCUGCCAACAAAUGAUAUAGGCAUCAGAAAAUGG